AAAAACGAGAGUUGAGAAGGAAAACCAAAAUAUCAUCCCAACUUGGUUGCGUUUGGGUCCUCGGAACUCUUUGUUUACACGAUGUUCGAGUACCCAAACCACAAAACCAAUGAAAACGAAGAAUGCUCCAGUUGUUAUCCAAAGCUCGCUCUUUAGAGGUUUCAAGAAAAUCCAAGCAUCCCUCCUAUCAUCAUCCCUUACCGGCACAACUACAGAAAUACCUGACUCUAUAAAAGGUAAUGUGAAAUCCACAUACUCUGACCGGCUCGCUAAAAUGGUCACAUCACCUACAACUGCAUCAUAGUCCUGGCUCAAGCAAACAUUGAUUAUUCCAGUAUGUAUAGUUGAUUGUAAUAGCAGAAAAUAGAUAUCGAAGUCCCAAAAAGGGCCAUGUUAGUAAGAUAUAGAGCCAAAGAGGUUUAUUGGAACAGAGAUUAUAUAUUACCUGAGAGGUGAUCUUGUGAACAAGAUCAUCAUAGUCUGGAAGAGUGAGGGGAUCUUGUAUUGGAAAUGGAAUAAAUUCGUAAGGGAGAGCAUAUGGCAAAGAUAGGAUGACUUCUUUGAAGACAUCUGCACAGAAACCAGUUGCUGUUACUGCUUGUGUUUUUGAAUCUCUUUCCACUUUAAUGAGUUGCUCCAGCCCUCCUUUGAGAGGAACUCCAACCCUUAACUUCUUCCCACUUGUGGGCAUUUCCCAGCCUCUUGGAACAAUAGUUGAUUCACCAGGCCAAAAAAUGGCUCCUAGUUGCUUAUUAUUACACUUAACUGCUGUUUUACCAUUCAUCUUCAGUUUACACGAAAUGCCAUCCCUCUUCGUCCAAAAUCCAAUGUUUUUCUCUCCUUUCCCAAUUAUAUUCACAAUCUGAUAUGGGAUUGGCUGCAGUUCUCCAUUGAUGAUACGGAAAUCACCACUUAAUCCUUGUUUUAGCACUGUGUUUCGCAUAGAGUCAAUGAGCAGAGAUCCCACUGCUGACGUUCCAAGUGCAUCUAAGUCUGUUAAGUUCUCUCUGGUGUCUGGUUUCUUUAAUUUUGGGAUAGCAGUAGUGCCUACUUUAUCUACUGCUUCUGCUAAUGAGGUGAUGCUAUCGUAUGCCCAUAGCCCAAAAACAUUGAGUUCUAUUUGGUCCAUGUCUGGAUACUCUUGACGGAAUCUCUUUCUCCAUCUCUUUGUGUAGUUGUUAAGCUGAUUUGAUCUUGGAAUGUAAGGUUUUAUACCAAGAACACCUUGCAUUGAUGACUCGAUCACUGAAUGAUCUACCAAGUCCAGAAGACUCGUUAGCACAUCUGUGAUGAUCCAUGCAUAUCCACUGCUCAUCAUCCCUGCUUCUUUGGCCUUGAGAAAAAGGCGGGAGGCAAGAUAUGGACGCAAGUGCACGACGAACACCCUUGUUUGCUUUGUAUUCAUAUUGUAUAACUCCUUGAGAAUCUGAUCAUCAUUGGCUGACGGAGAAAUAACACUUCUAUAGGAGACUAAAGUGCUGAUUUCCAGUAAGGCAUCAGUCAAAUGUGGAACUAUCCCGAACCCAUAGGGGCUAUCCUCAUAGAUGACCACAACCUCCCUCCAAUCAAAGUUUUUAACAAGUGCUGCAAUGGCCUUAGUCUGGCUGGAAGAAGGAAGUGCUGCUCUGAUGAAGAAGGGAUUUUCCUUGACUGUAAGUAAAGGACUUGUUGCUGGAGAAAUGAUUGGGACUUUUACUCUGUUCCCUAAGUCGAUCACAAAAUCAGUUUGUGUAGACAUUUGUGGCCCAAAGAUAGCUUGUACUUGGACAUCCUUUAGCAAGUAUAUGGCUGCACAUACACAAUCAGACAAUAAGAAUUUACCCAAAGUAAGAGUUUAAUAGAAGUGAAUCAUGGAACUGAAUUUACCAGCAGAUGUUGCUUCAACAUCAUCUUUCUUGGAAUCCUUGAUAUGAGGAACUAUCCUUAUGGCACCGCGACUAGCGUUGGCAUGAUAAUCUUCAAGUGCUAGUAAGAUAGAUAUGUGCAUUACUUUUCCCACAUCUGUUUCCAGAUCAAGAAUUAUACCCACAUCCACCUUUACAGCACUAGUGUUAUUAUCUUCACCUCUUAUUCGAACCACAUAGUGGUAAAAGCUAAUGAUGGAGAUAAGUUGAAAUGAAAAGAAUUAGAAAAGUGGCAUCUUGGAUUAUGCAUUUGAAAAAACUCUGGUAGCAAGUAGUCUGAGAGAUGGGCAACAAGCAGUUGUGCUUGUGCAAGAUAACCACACAUUCAGAAUGACAAUUUUCCUAUAAUUAAUAAGACCAAACUCCAUAAAUGAAGAAAGAAAAGUCAAAGAACAAAUGGUUGAAAAUCAAGUAUUCGUUUGAUUAUUGAAAGUGAGGACUUUUCACAUAUGCUACAACCGCACAGCUAGUAAGCAUAUUACCCCUCAGGUUUGACUAAAUAAAAAUUUGACAAAAUUGAUUGGUACUCAUUCCCCAACACCCAAUUACUUUUUGUGUGUACUAUCUAGAGGAUAUAUUCAAGGGAACUUACAUGAAUUCAACUAAUUUAGGAGUUAAUUACUUAAAUACAUUGUAGUUUGCAAUAUUACGUAUUUUACUAGAUUUUGGUAUGUCCAGAUACAUUCAGAUACAUAUAUGUGAGGUUACUUAGGAUCAAAAUUAGGUGUAAUUUGCUCUAGAUGCAUUGUAUCUAAGUGACUUUGCAUGUAUCUGGGAUACAUAACAAAUCUCGCUCGCCUCUCUCCCAUCUCUCACUCUCCUAUGUAUCUGAUAUUCCAUAUACAUGUGAAUCACACCAGAUACAUACACAUAAAUGUAUCUUAUGUGUAUAUAGUGUGAUUCGCAUGUAUCUGGGAUACAUAACAAAUCCCGCUUGCCUCUUUCCUCAUCUCGUUCCCCUAUCUUCCUAUUUUUGUGUAUCUGAUGGCAAAAAUUCAUGUAGCCAAAUGUAUUUUCCUCAAUAUAUGAUAGGAAACUCUUAAUUAGUGAUAGUAUACGAAAUAUUUUAAAAGUAUAGAAUAUAAUAGUAUAUAUGAUAGUGAAGUAUGUCUAAUGAUAUAGUUUUUCUGUAUUGAAAGGACUUCCCAAAUUUUGGCUGAGGCAUAAAAAGUUGACAAAUUUAGCUCAGUUACAAAUUCCACAAUUAAACCAAUAAGUAGAAGAGACCAUUGUUUUCCAACUUGGACAAGGCUAGAUACGACUAGUAAUCUUUAGUUUACGCGUUUUCAGUUACUAGUCUUUGGACACGUGCGUUGCACGUAUAUCCCAUAUUAUAUGGUUGCAUAAUAUAUGUCUAUAGUUACAAAUAUAUGUAUAAAAAAAAAUUGAUUGUGAUAUAAAUUGGAAAACAUGUAUAAGAUAAGAAAUCAAAACAGAUACCCUCAAAUUUCAAACUAUAAGCAUAAUAAGAAUAUGUAUUUCUAAUGAGUUUAAUCAAUCAUACCUUGCAAUAAUCUCUGCAAUUCAUUGAGAAACUUUCAAUCCAUACAUCAACAUUCAAUCGUGUAUAUAUAAAGAAAACUUGAAAUGCAUAACAACAAUUAUAUCUAUAUUUUUUAAAACACUAUAAAGUCAUUUUUUCUUUUUGCAUUAUAAUAUGGAUUGCACACAAUUUCUAUUAAAAAAAAGAAAGACAAAAUUAGGAAAAAUCGUAUCAAUAAAUUGGAAUGAAAAAUGUAAAAUUGUAAUAAGAGGAAGAGAAGAAAAAUACAGUAGAAUAUAUUACCUAACCAUGAAUAAGGAAGUAUGUUGAGUAAAAGAAGAGUAAUGCAAAAGUGUGAACUGAUAUAUGGAGGAAAUUGACAAAUAUAAUAAUCUAUAUUGAAUAAUGAAAAACAACUCUUCAAUUUCUGCAAAAAUUUUAUAACUACGAGCUCAAAAUAAUAUAAAUUUAUUAAUUUAAUAAAUGACAUAAAUAAAUAAAUAACAUAUAUUGUGUGUAUGUGUAGUUAAUGGGGUAGUGAAAAAGACUCUUUCUGAAAUUAUUUUUAUCUCUUUAAAGUAAUUUUGAACUUUUGAUAUUAGUGCUAUAGAAAAUCAUAUAAAGUCAUAAGCCACUGCAAGUUUUUAUAGUAAUUAUCUUAUUAAAUUAUAUACCUAUUAUUAUUUUUAAUUAUUUAUAAUCAUUCCGAAAAUGUAUAAAUUAAUUUUGAAAAGCUUGUAAAAUGAGAAAUUAUUAUUUCUUAUCAUUAUUUUAGCUAUUAUUAACAUUUAGUAUGACAACAUUUUAAAAAAGCAGCUUCCUUUAAAUAUUAAUUGUUUCUAAAUUAACAUAGCCAAGAAUUUAAAAUGUUGUGACGUUUUGUUUAUCUAAACACGCAGAAUUUUGUUUUUGAACCUGGAACAUGUAAUUAAGCCUUGGGUGAAUUAUAAUUUUAUUUUUACUAUUUAAUUAAUUAAAUAAUUUGUAACAUUUUAAUAUAAUGAAGGGGUAAAAUGGUAACUCAACUUUAAAGGUUGGAGCUUCCCACUUUUAGUAAUAUAUGAUAAAUUGGUCAGUAGUAGUAACCUAGUUUAAUUUGAUAUAAUAACAUUCAUGACAAAAUAAAUUAAAUAUGGCUAAUUAAGAAAAUAUAAUUAAAUAUGAUUAUCUUUAAUGUUAUUUAAAUUUGUAGGCGAUUUUUUUUGUAUUUUAAAAUUAAAAAAAGGCCAAAAAACCCACAAAAAGAGAUAAAUAGGAUUGAAGCCCUUAGAGAGCGUCACCUCACCGUUUUCAUAUUCAACUUUAUUAUUAUAUAUGGAUUUAGAUUUUUGCACAACCUUAAAUUUAAGGACACAUUUAGAUAUUAUAUCAAACAUUCAUUUAUUUGAAGUUGAAAUUACAUUUUACAUGAAAAUUGGAUAUUCCAUAUUCACAUUGAGUAUGAAUCUUUUUGUUUUUUUUACAAAAUUCAAAAUAAAAAAAUACAAAACAUAAACUUAUAGAUCAAAUUUUACAUUUGACAUUUGAAAGUUUUACUUUUCAUUAAACGUUUUGUUAUAGAAUUUGGAAUCGCCCUUUGAAAUUAGUAUUUAUAAAUGAAAAUAUUGAUCUAGUCCUGUUGAAAUUGUGUCUGGCCUAGUACUUUUUCUUAUUAGAGUGAUUAUUGAAUUAGGUUUAAUAUCAAUUUUCUUAAUUAGUUUUGUCAAUUGGCAGUGCUAAGAAGAUGGGAAUUUACGUUAUAUUAAAUUAUCUUUACAUUAAUAAAAAAAGAAAUUGUUGUUAGUAUUAUUUGUAAUAUAAUUAAACAAAAAUAACAAUGGGAAGAAAAUAAUAAGUAAAGAUUACACGUUGUAUUAAAAUAAUAAGUAUUAAAAAUUAUGAUAAAUUUUAUAAUAGUCAUAACAGGAAUUUACGCAAUAAUUACUAUAUUAGAAUACUAGAAAAAUUGAUAAGUUCCUCGACAUCUAAUCAUUGAUUAAAAUUUAAAUUAUUAUUUUCUUCUGCGAAAGUUUAAGAGAUUAAAUUAAUGUUUUAAAAAAUAAUAUUAAUUAUUUUCAAUGAUUAAUAAGAAAAUGUAUAUAGCAAGUACAUGUAUUAUUAUUACAUUAUUUAUAUCCACUCUAUAUUAAAUCAUUUUUCUAUUAUAGUUUGACGCAAAUUUCAGAAUGUAAAGAAUGUUUUGGAUUCGAAAAAUAAAUAUUCAAAAUAUACUAACAUGUCAUUUAAUCUUAUGAUAUUUUACAUUUCAUGUGAAAAAAAAUUAAAUAUUAAUUUUUUAAUAUGAAAAAUAUUAAUUUAUUAAUACAACAUAAAAGUAAUAAAGGACAAUAUAUAAAAAUAUUUGAAGUAUUUGAUAUUUUAUUAAAUUAAAAUAAUUCUAAAUUAAUAUAUAGCCGCGCAACGCGCGGGUACGUAUACUAGUGAAGAACAAUAAUAAAGAAGAAGACAAUUGAGUUAAUAUUUAUUUUUUCCAAGUUUAAUUUAACACAUGACCAGUUUUUAUUGGUCAGUGCUGUCAAAAAGUUGCACCCACGCGCCUAAAAUAGGUGAAAUCACGGACUCAGCCACGUAGGCCAAAAAGUGGUAAACAAUUAACUAAAAAAUAAGUUCAGGGGGGUAAUAGGACUUUAGUAAAGGUUAGGUGUGUCUCAGGGAUUUUGGGCAUAGGCUGGGGGGGUACUUAUGCAUUUUCCCUUAUGUUAAAUAUACCAAAAUGUUUUUUAAUCUUAUGACUUUAAACAUGUCACGUGAAAAACUGAAAUUAAAGUGUUGCCAAAAAAAGAAGGGUCAUUUUUUUUAAACAGACUAAACAGAAAAGUAGAUCUUUUUAAAACGGAAGGGAAGUAAUUGUUAAUGCAAGAGGAAGCUGCUUGAAAAGUUACGUAUAUGAUGUUGAAGUUGUCUAACAUGCAAUGCUGGUCCUAUAAUCUUUCAUUAUUUAUUAUCCAUGACUAUGGGUGGAUAAUAAUAGUUAUCUGCUAUGAUCAUAUAUACCUAGGGGUGGACAUAUUACUUAGAAAACUUAUGUUAGGUAAUUUUGAUUUCUAAAAAUACUAUAUGGUGUAUGCUAUUUGCAGAUGAUAGUCCUAAUCGACCAGACUCGUAAUAGAGUUAAUGUUAAGCUAGAGAAGAUAAUAAUGGCUCCCUUCUCAAAUAUUUCAUUGGUAGAAAUUUGCCUUCCAGAAUUUCAUAAUUGCAUCUGAUCCUUUCUGAUAACUCAAAGGGCAUCUUAAAUUGGUGCGGAAGUUUAAUUUUGACAUGGAACGCAAAUAUAUGCGGAAAAUUAGUAAUUCAAUAAAUAUUUAAUUAUGAAUGCAUAUUACAAAAGUGCAAGGAAUUCAAUUGUAAGAUGUUGAAGGUUAAACCCAUAAAUUCUAAAUACUAGAGACGCCUCUUAAUGCAAAUAUAAUAUGGUUUAACUAUUUUAAACCUGGCUCAUCUCUCUUAAGUUGUCCCUGUAAUGUUUUCAUGAACUGGAGUUCCAGGUUCUGUUGUAGAGAACCCUUCAAGUGCAGGGGAUGCUCCUAAGCCGUCGGAAAUUCUGAUUUCUGGGCUUUGCAAAGGAAGGUGGGGCAAUAUUUCAGUAGAGGCUUCACUUUCUGCAAACAGCAUAGCUGUUUGGAUUUCAUUGCCUUCAGAUGGCUCUUCUGACAUAGAAUUAGAGUUGUCUCUCUCUUUAUCAAAGGCAUUUGCUAUUGCAGAAAGCUUUUGCCAUACUGAAUCAUCAGUGGCUAAGAUUUCUCUAUUCUGAUAAAGGAAGAUGAGGAAGAAUAGGAGAAGAGCGGAGCCCGCUGAUACACCAGCUAUGAGGAAAAGGCCCUUAAAACUAUCGAGCAUGAGGCUAGAUGCUAUAGCCAUUCCAUCUUGCUUUGGACAAUCUGUUUCAUUCCCAAACCAUUUCUGUAUUAUGUUAUUCAUAAACUCUCCUUCCAUCACCUGCAAGACUGCUCUUGAGACGUCAGGUACCAAAGGAGAUCCUUUUGGAAAUGCCUGCCAGAAGUUGGGGGAAAAUAAAAGAUUAAAUUAUUGAGUAGAACAUAAACCAUUCUAAACAAAUGUAAACACGUUCUGAAACAUCACUGGAGUGCAACAUUCUUACGAAUCCAAAGCCAGCAGCCUUGUAUGUCGGACCGACCAUAAUAUACUUCCUGCAAUACUUGUUGAGGAAGAGUCUGAGAUAAGGUAGUUCAUCAACAAUUGCACCAACACCUCCAUUUUUACUUCCUCUUGAGAGGGCAUUACUAUACUCUUCCAAUGUGCUAUAACUUAUGAACUUGGAACUGUCAAACUUCAUGUGCUUCAAGACAUCUUUGACAAAGGAACCUUCUUGGUACCCAACAUAUUCUCCAUUCUUGAUCAGAUCAUUGAGGUCAGUUAUAGAAGGUUGGAGCUGUUGCACUGUCAACAUAGAUGUUAAGUUGGCUGUAUAACUUGAUGUCAGCACCAGAACCACGAAAACCCACACAAUCAGCACAAAUCUUGUGAAGUUACUAGUAACCCUCUCUCCUGAAACAACCAGCCAUAUAUAUGAUUUGUUGAGAAACAAGGAUAAAUCCUAAAGCUUUUUGUAUAUAAUUUGCUUUGUGUUAGAGACUUACUAUGAGCAAAAACGAGAGUUGAGAAGGAAAACCAGAAUAUCAUCCCAACUUGCUUGUGUUUGGGUCCUCGAAACUCUUUGUUUACACGAUGUUCAAGUACCCAAACCACAAAACCAAUGAAGAUGAAGAAUCCUCCUGUUGUUAUCCAAAGCUCGCUCUUUAGAGGUUUCAAGAAAAUCCAAGCAUUCUUUCUAUCAUCAUUCUUUACCGACACAACAGCAGAAAUACCGGACUCUGAAAAAGGUAAUGUGAAAUCCACAUACUUGGCUCGGCUCGCUAAAAUGGUCACAUCACCUACAACUGCAUCAUAUUCCUGGUUCAAGCAAACAACGAUUAUUUUAGUAUAUAUGGUUGAUCUCAGUCAAAGAAGAAAGUAGAUAUGGAAGUCCCGGAAAGGAGCAUGUAAGGUAUUCAGCCAAAAAGGUUAAUUCAAAAAAGAAUUGGAUAUUACCUUUGAGGAGAUCUUGUAAACAAGAUCAUCAUAGUCUUGAGAAGUGGGGCUAACUAUUGGAAAUGGAAUAAAUUCGUAAGGGAUGGCGUAUGGCAAAGAUUGGAUAACUUCUUUGAAGACAUCUGGAAUGAAACCAGUUGCAGUUACUGCUUGUGUUUUGGCAUCUAUUUCCACUUUAAUGAAUUGCUCCAGCCCUCCUUUGACAGGAACUCCAACCCUCAACUUCUUCCCACUUGUGGGUAUUUCCCAGCCUCUCGGAACAAUAAUAGAUUCACCAGGCCAAAUGAUGGCCGCUAGUUGCUCAUUCAUACUCUUAGCUGUUUUACUAUUCAUCUUCAGUUUAUGCGAAAUGCCAUCCUUCUCGGUCCAGAAUCCAAUGCUUCUCUCUCCUUUCCCAAUUAUAUUCACAAUCUCAUAUGUGUAUAGCUGCAAUUCUCCAUCAAUGAUACGGAAUUCACCACUUAGUCCUGUUUUUGGCUUUGUAUUUCGCAUAGAGUCAAGGAGCAGAGAUCCAAAUUCUGAGGUUCCAAGUGCAUCUAAGUCCGUUAAAUUCUCUCUAGUGUCUGCUUUCUUGAAUUUUGGGAUGAUGGUAGUGCCCACUUUUGCUAUUGCUUUUGUUAAUGCGGUGAUGCUAUCAUAUGCCCAUAGCCCGUAAACAUUGAGUUCAACUGGGUCCAUGUCUGGAUACUCUUGACGGAAUCUCUUUCUCCAUCUCCUCGUGUAAUUGUUAAGCUCAUUUGAUCUUGGAAUAUAAGGUUUUAUACCAAGAACACCUUGCAUUGAUGACUCAAUUACUGAAGUAUCUACCAGGUCCAGAAGACUCGUUAGCACAUCUGUGAUGAUCCAUGCAUAUCCACUGUUCAUCAUCCCGGUUUCUUUGGCCUUGAGGAAAAGGCGGGAGGCAAGAUGUUCUUGCAAGUGCACAAUGAACACCCUGGUCUGCAUUGUCUUCAACUUGUAUAGCUCCCUGAGGAUUUGAUCAUCAUUGGCUGAAGGAGAAAUACCACUUCUAUAGGAGACUAAAGUAUUGAUUUCCAGCAAGGCAUCAGUCAAAUAUGGAAGUAUCCCGGUUCCAUAGGGGCUUUCCUCAUAGAUUACUACAACCUCCCUCCAAUUAUAGUUUUUAACAAUUGCUGCAAUGGCUUUAGUCUGACUGGAAGAAGGAAGUGCGCCUCUGAUGAAGAAGGGAUUUUCCUUGACUGAAAGUGAAGGACUAGUUGCUGGAGAUAUUAUAGGAACUUUAACUCUGUUCCCC
rnacentral:lncRNA from 1 species